UCCCCAAAUUUAUGCAUAGCUCGUCAAGGCAGACGAAGAGACCGAAAGUUAGGGAACUGAAACGUUUCAUUGACAACGCCAUUGAAUGGUCAGACUUAACAUCCGAACAGCAGAGACUUGGCAAGCUACUACAAUGGAGAUUCCAGCUGGACAAAUCUCUUAUAUAAUAAAUUACAAUGACAAAGCUUUGAAAUUUUGACAGCAGGAAUUGAGAUUAAAGUAGCUUAUUACACUGAGGGACAUGGCAUUGAUCACACUCCAUGAUCAAUCAUCAGAAUGAGAGAGCUCUCAUCCAAACACAAUAACCAUGACCAUUAACCAGAAGAAAGGUUCAAUAUCAGCCUCUGUUACAUGCACACGAGAUUCUUCAACCUGACUUUCAAGUGCCUUACCAGAUUCUUCAACCUGCCUUUCAAGAACCUCACCAGAUUCUUCAGCCUGGCUUUCAAGAGCCUUACCAGAUUCUUCAAC